rnacentral:snRNA from 1 species
AUCUUAGUGCACGGGCGUUACGCAUGUCAGUGAGGAUUCGUCCGAGACUGCGUUUUUGCUAGUUGAAAACUAUAACUAUGACCACUCCUAUUCGGCCUCUGGCUGGGUAGGGAAUUUUUGGCAACCCAUUAC